GACGAACGCUGGCGGCGUGCUUAACACAUGCAAGUCGAACGGUAAGGCCCUUCGGGGUACACGAGUGGCGAACGGGUGAGUAACACGUGGGUGAUCUGCCCUGCACUUCGGGAUAAGCCUGGGCAACUGGGUCUAAUACCGGAUAGGACCACUGCCUGCAUGGGUGGUGGUGGAACGCUUUUGCGGUGUGGGAUGGGCCCGCGGCCUAUCAGCUUGUUGGUGGGGUGAUGGCCUACCAAGGCGACGACGGGUAGCCGGCCUGUGAGGGUGACCGGCCACACGGGGACUGAGAUACGGCCCAGACUCCUACGGGAGGCAGCAGUGGGGAAUAUUGCACAAUGGGCGCAAGCCUGAUGCAGCGACGCCGCGUGAGGGAUGACGGCCUUCGGGUUGUAAACCUCUUUCAGCACCGACGAAGCGCAAGUGACGGUAGGUGCAGAAGAAGGACCGGCCAACUACGUGCCAGCCGCCGCGGUAACAC
rnacentral:rRNA from 1 species